ACCUGGGUGACGAGUCUCGAAUAGGACGAAACGCGUGUCCUGGAU
rfam:Schistosoma margrebowiei strain Zambia genome assembly, scaffold: SMRZ_contig0002811